AAGUCGUAACAAGGUCUCCGUUGGUGAACCAGCGGAGGGAUCAUUAAAGAGUUGCAAAACUCCAACCCCUGUGAACCUUACCUUUACUGUUGCUUCGGCGGUUGGCGCCGGUGCCCAGAUGGGCCUGGAGGUCGCCGCCGGAGGUUCGAAACCCUGAAUUCUAGUGUGUCUCUGAGAAAAGAAUAAAACAAUCAAAACUUUCAACAACGGAUCUCUUGGUUCUGACAUC
rnacentral:misc_RNA from 1 species